rnacentral:lncRNA from 1 species
CCAAACUCCAGGAAAUCCAGAUGAAACCAGGACUGUCAGUGAUAAAAUUGUUACCAUUGCUUUCAUCAAGCCAAGCUUGCUUCUAACUCAGUUUAACAGUGAGGAUGAUUCUUCUAUUCCCUGAAGAACUACCCUGAACUCCUCCAGACCUCACUGCAUUCCCUUAAAUCAACUUUAUUUCCACUGACACAUUGAACAUCUAUCAAGUGUGAACUUGAACUAGUGACUGCUGCUUCAGAGAGGGAGUUCUAACCUCUUCCCCACCCACAUCUCAUCCCUGGCUGAUCAUUUGAAAACAGGCAAUUAAAUGUCAUUUGCACCCCUUUUAAAAGAAUAAAAAUAAUUCCAAGUGUUUC